rnacentral:rRNA from 1 species
UACAGAGGUCUCAAGCGUUGUUCGGAUUCAUUGGGCGUAAAGGGUGCGUAGGCGGCGCGGUAAGUCGGGUGUGAAAUCUCGGGGCUUAACUCCGAAACUGCAUUCGAUACUGCCGUGCUUGAGGACUGGAGAGGAGACUGGAAUUUACGGUGUAGCGGUGAAAUGCGUAGAUAUCGUAAGGAAGACCAGUGGCGAAGGCGGGUCUCUGGACAGUUCCUGACGCUGAGGCACGAAGGCCAGGGGAGCAAAUGGG